UACGGGGGGCGAAGCGUUGUUCGGAAUUACUGGGCGUAAAGGGCUCGUAGGCGGCCAACUAAGUCCGACGUGAAAUCCCUCGGCUUAACCGGGGAACGUGCGUCUGAUACUGGAUGGCUAGAGGUUGGGAGAGGGAGUGCGGAAUUCCAGGUGUAGCGGUGAAAUGCGUAGAUAUCUGGAGGAACACCGGUGGCGAAGGCGGCGAUCCUGGACCAACACGUGAACACUGAGGAGCG
rnacentral:rRNA from 1 species